CGAACGGGUGAGUAAUGCGUGACCAACCUGCCCCAUGCUCCAGAAUAGCUCUUGGAAACGGGUGGUAAUGCUGGAUGCUCCAACUUGACGCAUGUCUUGUUGGGAAAGUGUUUAGUGGCAUGGGAUGGGGUCGCGUCCUAUCAGCUUGUAGGCGGGGUAAUGGCCCACCUAGGCUUCGACGGGUAGCCGGCCUGAGAGGGCGGACGGCCACAUUGGGACUGAGAUACGGCCCAAACUCCUACGGGAGGCAGCAGGG
rnacentral:rRNA from 1 species